rnacentral:pre_miRNA from 1 species
ACAACAACAUUCGGCACGUCGGUCUACCGAGCAAUAUCACCCGCUCGGUGGAAGAUCUUCCCUUUGUCGUCUAAU